UACGGAGGAUCCAAGCGUUAUCCGGAUUUAUUGGGUUUAAAGGGUGCGUAGGCGGCCUGUUAAGUCAGGGGUGAAAGACGGUAGCUUAACUAUCGCAGUGCCCUUGAUACUGAUGGGCUUGAAUAUACUUGAGGUAGGCGGAAUGUGACAAGUAGCGGUGAAAUGCAUAGAUAUGUCACAGAACACCAAUUGCGAAGGCAGCUUACUAAGGUAUGAUUGACGCUGAGGCACGAAAGCGUGGGGAGUCAAACAGG
rnacentral:rRNA from 1 species